UCACGGUUGACGUGGCCCUCACGUGAGCUGGAGCCGACGCGUGCAGACGUCCUUCUAAUCUUAGUCUUCGUUUGGUCCGGUUGCACUCUCUCUAUCGCCCAGAGGGCGAGAGGGCCUGUGGCCUGGGGGAAGGAGGACGAGGUUACUGCCUGGAUCCCAGCAGUAGGGCGCUGUGCCAUUUGGGAACAAAGGAAUAGUCUGCCUGGAAUCCCUGCAGAUCUUGGGGCCGGAGGCCAGUCCAACCCUUGGAGCAGGAAGAUACGCAAAGUUGUCAAGAACCAAGUCAAGCUGCCUCAGAGCCGGCCAGCAGUAGCUGCAGACUCCGCCCGCGACGUGUUCGCGCUUCUCUGGGCCAGAGCGAGCCUGUUCUGUGCUCCGGUUAAG
rnacentral:lncRNA from 1 species